UACGAAGGGGGCUAGCGUUGUUCGGAAUUACUGGGCGUAAAGCGCACGUAGGCGGAUUGUUAAGUUAGGGGUGAAAUCCCGGGGCUCAACCCCGGAACUGCCUUUAAUACUGGCAAUCUCGAGUCCGAGAGAGGUGAGUGGAAUUCCGAGUGUAGAGGUGAAAUUCGUAGAUAUUCGGAGGAACACCAGUGGCGAAGGCGGCUCACUGGCUCGGUACUGACGCUGAGGUGCGAAAGCUAGGGGAGCAAACGGG
rnacentral:rRNA from 1 species